CCCCUCCCCCCCUUCCGAAUCGUGUAAAUCUGACACGACCUGCCACCAAGUUUCCUACCCAGGUGUAGCCGUAUCGCGAUAAGCACUCAACAAUAUUAAUUGUUUUUGCGUUUUGCGUUUCUAUAACGAAAAUGUUCGCAAAGUUCGCUGUUUUAUAACCAUACACGACGGUAUCGCACACAGAACCGGAUGAAACGCGGAAUCGAUAAUGUAUAAUGUAUGUAGGUAUUGCGUUUGUCAGAAUCGAAAGAACGGACGGAAAUGAUAAUUGGUCAAAACCAAACCGCGUAUAAACGCGUUUGAGAGCCAUAUUUACCGACGCAAACCGCAAAACGGACAGAGUAGAGACGAAUAAAAAUAUACUAGAAAUCGGUUUCGUCUCGGGGCGGAGUAAUAGGUAAUAUUGUUGUAUACGAGUGUAAAAUUGCAUUUUCGCGUAUACAGGCAUCAUUAAUUGUUCUGCGAUUUUUUUCCCGGUUAUUCGUCCGAAAAUCUAAACUACUAUAAAAUACUUAUUGGGCGUUAUAAUUAGA